rnacentral:rRNA from 2 species
UCCUCCAAGGCUAAAUACUCCUGACUGACCGAUAGUGAACCAGUACCGUGAGGGAAAGGCGAAAAGAACCCCGGCGAGGGGAGUGAAAAAGAACCUGAAACCGUGUACGUACAAGCAGUGGGAGCACCCUUUGGGGUGUGACUGCGUACCUUUUGUAUAAUGGGUCAGCGACUUAUAUUCUGUAGCAAGGUUAACCGAAUAGGGGAGCCGGAGGGAAACCGAGUCUUAACCGGGCGUUAAGUUGCAGGGUAUAGACCCGAAACCCGGUGAUCUAGCCAUGGGCAGGUUGAAGGUUGGGUAACACUAACUGGAGGACCGAACCGACUAAUGUUGAAAAAUUAGCGGAUGACCUGUGGCU